rnacentral:rRNA from 1 species
AACGAACGCUGGCGGCAGGCCUAACACAUGCAAGUCGAGCGAGGACUUCGGUUCUAGCGGCGGACGGGUGAGUAACGCGUGGGAAUGUGCCCUUCUCUACGGAAUAGCCCUGGGAAACUGGGAGUAAUACCGUAUACGCCCUAUUGGGGAAAGAUUUAUCGGAGAAGGAUCAGCCCGCGUUGGAUUAGGUAGUUGGUGGGGUAAUGGCCUACCAAGCCGACGAUCCAUAGCUGGUUUGAGAGGAUGAUCAGCCACAGUGGGACUGAGACACGGCCCAGACUCCUACGGGAGGCAGCAGUGGGGAAUCUUAGACAAUGGGGGCAACCCUGAUCUAGCCAUGCCGCGUGAGUGAUGAAGGCCUUAGGGUUGUAAAGCUCUUUCAGCUGGGAAGAUAAUGACGGUACCAGCAGAAGAAGCCCCGGCUAACUCCGUG